GAGUACAUAGUUCUAAGUGGAAGAACACUGACCUCACUGAUCAGAGGUUGCAGGUUCGACUCCUGCUGUACUCC
rnacentral:tRNA from 1 species